rnacentral:rRNA from 1 species
AUAUCCCAUCAGCUAGUUGGUAGUGUAAGAGACUACCAAGGCAAUGACGGGUAGCGGGUUUGAGAGGAUGAUCCGCCACACUGGUACUGAGACACGGACCAGACUCCUACGGGAGGCAGCAGUGAGGAAUAUUGCACAAUGGAGGAAACUCUGAUGCAGCAACGCCGCGUGGAGGAUGACGCAUUUCGGUGUGUAAACUCCUUUUAUAUGUCAAGAAAAUGACGGUAGCAUAUGAAUAAGCACCGGCUAACUCCGUGCCAGCAGCCGCGGUAAUACGGAGGGUGCAAGCGUUAUUCGGAAUCACUGGGCGUAAAGGACGCGUAGGCGGGAUGCCAAGUCUGAUGUGAAAUCCUAUGGCUUAACCAUAGAACUGCAUUGGAAACUGGUAACCUAGAGUAUGGGAGGGGGAGAUGGAAUUAGUGGUGUAGGGGUAAAAUCC